rnacentral:misc_RNA from 1 species
GGCAAGGAAAAGAAAUCUAUCACUGCUACCUGCUACCCCGAUACUAAAACAUCCAGCAAAUUUUAACUUUUCAUCGAUCUCGCAAUUUAGUUGAUAAAGUUAUUCGAACGCGUACAGAAGUGUAAAAGUGAAUCCAAUAUUCGAACAAAUAAAACACGGAAGCACAAAAAAACUUUGGUGAUUUUUCUUUUGCCACAAGUGAGUGCAAAAGAAAAAGUCCCAAACCCCACCAUAUAGACAACACUUUUGCAGUGUAUUGAGAUGCAAAGUUACGGUGGAGCACCAGCGUCAGCUGCUCCCCAACAACUACCUUAUAAAGAACAACAGCCCCAAAGAAAUCUCUAUGACGCAACGCUGCGUAAUAGCAGCGAAGGCCAGCAGCACGCAGGCGGAGUGAUUCGGGGUAGCAGCAACAGCAGCGGUGAAAAUUCGCGUUGCGAAAGUGAUGAUGAAUAUAAUAGAAACCAGCCAAGGUCAGCGGCGACAGCGCCAUUGACCGCCGCUACAGCUGGUUGUGCUGUUGGUAUAGAGGCGGCCAAUGAGGGGCCAAACGUGUUUGCGCCUCAUAGAGCACAUAGCACUGGUGGCGUUGAAGCCAGUGAAUUGCCCUCAAGUUCCAAUAACAUGGAAGGUUCUUCGCCUAUGGCCUCUUACAACGAGGAAAGGAUGCGUCGUAAAUUGCAAUUUUUCUUUAUGAAUCCGAUUGAAAAGUGGCAAGCGCGCCGUAAAUUUCCAUACAAAUUUGUUGUGCAGGUGGUGAAGAUCAUAUUGGUGACAGUGCAGCUGUGCCUAUUCGCGCAUUCACGCUACAAUCACAUCAACUACACCUGGGAUAAUCGCAUUGCCUUUUCGCAUCUAUUUUUGCGCGGCUGGGACUCUUCUCGUGAAGUGGAAUCCUACCCGCCUUCUGUAGGCCCCUUUGCGCUCUACGAAAAAUCCGAUUUCUAUGACACCAUCGACUAUGCGGUGCGCGGUUAUGCCAACAUGAGUCGUUCCAUCGGCCCCUAUGAUUACCCGACCGACAACAACGAGAUGGCCCCUCUGCAUCUCUGCCUCUACAAUUAUCGCGAAGGCACAAUUUUCGGUUUCAAUGAGUCGUACAUUUUCAAUCCGGACAUCACUGAGUUCUGUCUGUAUUUGCCGCCAAAUGUGACCAAGAUCGGUGUGCAGGCGUACCUCAAGCAAAGCGGCGUCGAGUUGAGUUUCUCUUCGUUGGUCAGGGCGACGCUGGUAUUCGCCAUCAAGACGGUCAAUUUUAAGGCUUACGGCGGGCCGUUGUCCGCGCCCGAUUGCUUCAAGUUCGAUGUGAGCAUAAUCUUCGACAAUCGCGAUCACGACGGACAAAUGCUGCUUUCCCUCGAUGCGGAUGCGCAGCGUUUGCGCUGCAAAGGCGAUGUUGAGUUCAUUUCGAAUGCAGAAUUUGAUGCGGCUUUGCGCAGUAUGUUGAACAUCCUGGUGCUAAUGGUGUGUUUACUGUCCUUUGCGCUGUGCUCCCGCGCGCUGUAUCGCGCCUACUUGCUGCGCUGCCAGACGGUGAACUUCUUCCGUAUGCACUUCAACAAGGAGCUGAGCUUCGACGGUCACAUGGAGUUUGUGAAUUUUUGGUACGUAAUGAUCAUCAUCAACGAUUUGCUGCUCAUCAUUGGCUCGUCACUGAAGGAGCAAAUCGAACGCAAAUUUCUAGUCGUCGAUCAAUGGGACACCUGCUCACUCUUCCUAGGCAUCGGUAAUUUGCUGGUGUGGUUCGGCGUGCUGCGCUAUCUGGGCUUCUUCAAGACCUACAACGUCGUCAUACUCACACUGAAGAAAGCCGCGCCGAAAAUCCUACGCUUCCUGCUCGCAGCGCUACUCAUCUAUGCCGGUUUUACAUUCUGCGGCUGGCUCAUACUCGGCCCCUACCAUAUGAAGUUCCGCUCGCUCGCUACCACCUCGGAGUGUCUUUUCGCGUUAAUUAAUGGUGAUGACAUGUUUGCCACCUUCGCGACACUCUCAUCAAAGGCCGACUGGCUGUGGUGGUUCUGCCAAAUCUACUUGUACUCCUUCAUUUCGCUGUACAUUUAUGUCGUGCUAUCGCUCUUCAUCUCAGUUAUUAUGGAUGCAUAUGACACGAUCAAGUGCUACUAUCGUGACGGCUUCCCCAUUUCGGAUCUGAAAGCGUUCGUGGGCACGCGCAACGAGGAGGAUCUCAGAUCAGGUGUGUUCAUGAGCAACAUGGAUGACUUUGAUGGGAACGGUUUGCUAGAUGUGCUACGCCAAGUCUGUUGUUGUGGGCGUUAUCGGGGGGACAGUGGCGGUACAAGUGGCAGCAACGGACCCUCUGGGUACACCAGUCUAACGAGUAUUAUCAAGUGAUUGAAUGUUUGUUGAGAAUAUUGAUGAUGUACAUUCAAUUGGAACUGUACUGAUGAAUGAGACGACGACGACGACCACGAACGAACGGAGUACGAAUUGACGCUUGGAAUGUGUUGUCACAUCGCCGCUGCUGAUUUGCUGAAAUGCUAUGUUUGCAAGCGUUGUUCAUGGCAUGCAUUAGCUGAUUCAUUUGUGUUUAUGAGACGCGCGUCUGAUGAAUGUUUAUUGGUCAUGAAAUAAAUGAAAAUCAGUCCACGAUUUAUUCAGAUGUAUGUAUGUUUGUACGCAAAACAAUACAUAUACAGAUGUAUAUACAUAGGUCUAAGUAUAUAUUUGUAAUUGAACGGAAAGAAGUACAUAUAUGCAUACAUAUAUGAAAAAUAUGUAGUUUAAAUAAAAUUAUACAUAUAAUCUA